rnacentral:rRNA from 1 species
UACAGAGGGUGCGAGCGUUAAUCGGAAUUACUGGGCGUAAAGCGCACGUAGUCGGCUUUGCAAGUCGGGUGUGAAAUCCCCGGGCUCAACCUGGGAACUGCAUCCGAGACUGCAUUGCUAGAGUAUGGGAGAGGGAAGCGGAAUUUCUGGUGUAGCAGUGAAAUGCGUAGAUAUCAGAAGGAACAUCAGUGGCGAAGGCGGCUUCCUGGACCAAUACUGACGAUCAGGUGCGAAAGCGUGGGGGGCAAACAGG